UACGGAGGGUGCGAGCGUUGUCCGGAAUCACUGGGCGUAAAGGGCGCGUAGGUGGCCUGCUAAGUCGGACGUGAAAUCCCUCGGCUCAACCGGGGAACUGCGUCCGAUACUGGUGGGCUCGAGUGCAGGAGAGGAACGCGGAAUUCCAGGUGUAGCGGUGAAAUGCGUAGAUAUCUGGAGGAACACCGGUGGCGAAGGCGGCGUUCUGGACUGCAACUGACACUGAGGAACGAAAGCCAGGGGAGCAAACGGG
rnacentral:rRNA from 1 species